rnacentral:rRNA from 1 species
CCUACGGGAGGCAGCAGUAAGGAAUAUUGGUCAAUGGGCGCAAGCCUGAACCAGCCAUGCCGCGUGCAGGAAGACGGCCCUAUGGGUUGUAAACUGCUUUUGAACAAGAGAAAACCUCGGUACGUGUACCGAGCUGAUAGUAUUGUUAGAAUAAGCAUCGGCUAACUUCGUGCCAGCAGCCGCGGUAAGACGAAGGAUGCAAGCGUUAUCCGGAUUCAUUGGGUUUAAAGGGUGCGUAGGCGGCCUGAUAAGUCAGUGGUGAAAUCUCUCAGCUUAACUGAGAAACUGCCAUUGAUACUGUCGGGCUUGAGUACAGAUGAUGUGGGCGGAAUAUGACAUGUAGUGGUGAAAUACUUAGAUAUGUCAUAGAACACCGAUUGCGAAGGCAGCUCACAAAACUGUAACUGACGCUGAGGCACGAAAGUGCGGGGAUCAAACAGGAUUAGAUACCCUGGUAGUCCGCACCGUAAACGAUGAUUACUCGUUGUUGGCAAUAUGACCGUCAGCGACCAAGCGAAAGCGAUAAGUAAUCCACCUGGGGAGUACGCCGGCAACGGUGAAACGUCAAAUGAAUUGACGG